GAGUUUUGAUGGUAUAAAUUAGGCUAAGUUGACAAGAAGUGGCAUGCGAGAAUAAUGUGCCAGGUACAUAACGUACUGUUUGACUUGUUAAAGAUGCCCAUAUGUUGAAAGUGAGAGAGACAUGUGCAUCUACUUUGGCCCCAUUUUCCAUCUACAUGUAUGUAGUCGAUAAUUAAAGAUGGGCAACACACUUUGAGGUAUUGUUGUUAAUAUCAGCUACCGGUAAUCAUUAUGUUUUUUGUUCAAAUCAAAAGAAUUUUUCAGUUAAUUCAAUACCGAGAGGUAGUGUUAAUGUUAAUUUACAUUGGUACGCAUUUAAUAGAAUGCAGGGUAUUGUAUAAGCCUCUCAUGGUAUCUAGAGACUGGAUGUGUCAGAGAAAAUGUCUGACUUUUAGGCCAAGUUUCUUCUCCUUCUGAGCAAAGAAAAGUUAAUUCGGAUCAGUAGUAUGAAUAAUUUAUUCUUUUUCUGCCAUUAUUUUAUUUCCCAGUCUUUCUUUUUUUUAAAUAGUAUUAAUAAUGAAGGAUCAAAAUGCAAAUCUUAAUCUCUAGAUUUUGUUGAUCCCAAUUUAUCAGUAGGAAGAAAAAUAAUGUUACCUGGAAGUUAGGCUAUUGAGUAAUUCAAUUUUGUAUUCUGUCCUAUUACAGUUAACCCCCAUAAAUGCAAUAUCCAAUAUCGAAAGUGAUUUGUGGUCCCCUAGCAUUGACGAUCAGCAGCAAGAGAUAUUCUCUUUUCAUUUCAGAGAUACCAUAUAUCCUACCGCAGCAAGGCAUUUAUAAUGGGGGCAUUCACACUGCAAGCAAAAACAAACAUUUUUUUUCUUCUCAUAAAGUCAGGAGUUGCUAGGCGACUAUUAAACCUUGAACAUGACGGAGAACCCAUCUCUGGAGAAUUUUUUUUAUAACGCUGGAAACAACACCAGUUUUUGCUGUGUAAAUGCUGGCUCUCAAAGCACCAGUAAAUUAGUCCUCUUUUUUUUUGCCACGUGACUCUUCUCGCUACUGUGUUAACACAUGCAGAGCAUCAACAAUCGGGAAUGUGCACAACUGACAAAAUACACCAGAAUAUAAUAGGAAUAUACAGCACUGACAUAUAUUUGUAUCGGUUUUUCCAGUAUCAUAAAUGGUAGUUUGAAUUAGUUUUUUCUGUAGUGUAAAUGGGUCUUAUAUUAAUACAUAUUGACUAUUAUCCAGUGAAUAGAUCUUUCAAUAAUAAAUAAAGAGCGAUAUUCGUGGCUCACCCUUUCUUCAAAUUAUUCCCUCUCGUGGAGGGCUUAUGUAUUUUGUUGAUUGAAUUGGUUUGCCGCAGAAUAGAGGCCUUUGGUUUUUGGUCACAAUUGUCCCCGGCUGCCAUCUUGCUUUUGAUCAAAGUAUUCUGGUUAUAAAGAGAUACCGCUGAUACAAUUGUGUAUUGAUUCAAUUGCUUUUUUAUGAACAAAGAACCAAUUAAAUGCAGUUCAGGUACAAUUGAUUCAAUUGCUUUUGUUUUGAACAAAGAUCCAAUUAAAUGCAGUUCAGGUUCAAUCAAGUUUGAAAUUGCAUUUUACUUUUUUUUUAUGGUAAAACUUUUGUUUUAGUUUACAGAUGUAGAUAACAAUGUUCCUAACUGAUGAAACUGAUAAACUGAACUGUAAUAUGCAGUUUCAUUUUUGCAAGGAGCCCUUUUGUUUUCUGCCAGAGAAAUGUAUUCAUUACAUUCUAUAUUGUACACAAAUUUGUCAAUUAUUAUAUUUUAGUUGCUGUACAGGCUGUUGUAAGCAUUCUGUUGAAAUUGACAGGCAUUUCCCUUUUAUCCCCCCCCC